rnacentral:rRNA from 1 species
GCUCAGGACGAACGCUGGCGGUGUGCUUAAUACAUGCAAGUCGAACGAAGAGGCCCUUUCGGGGGUACUUCAGUGGCGGACGGGUGAGUAACACGUAGGUAACAUGCCCUAUACUGGGGGAUAACACCUCGAAAGAGGUGCUAAUACCGCAUAAGCCAUAAGCUGAGAUGCUUAUGGUUAAAGAAUUUCGGUAUAGGAUUGGCCUGCGUCGGAUUAGCUUGUUGGUGGGGUAAAGGCCUACCAAGGCAAUGAUCCGUAGUUGGUCUGAGAGGAUGACCAGCCACAGUGGGACUGAGACACGGCCCACACUCCUACGGGAGGCAGCAGUAGGGAAUAUUGCGCAAUGGGCGAAAGCCUGACGCAGCAACACCGCGUG